GUGCUUUUUGAGACCAUUUUCAUUUUGACAGUAUUCUCCUUCCUCUUUCUUGGGGCCCCCUUCUGGAGGAAGCAAGCUGCUAUUGUGGUGAAUGGCCCUGUGGAGAAUCAGACUUGACAAGGAGCAGGUCCUGGGCCAACAGUGGAUGAGGAUGUGAGAUCUGACAACAGCUCUGUGGGAACACUGGGCCACCAUGGAAGAAGACUGGUUUCCUGAAGCUUCCAUGUUAGAGAUGCGGUGUAUUGAAAUCACAGAAAGAUUGAAUUGUCCAAGAAGCUCUAGUUGUUUCAGUCUCCAGAUAUUUGGACCAUAUCAGCAUCAACUGUCAGACAUGUGAUGAAUACCACUAAAGAGAUUGUGAAAGAUAAUUGGACAUAUCUUCUACCAAAUGUGCAGAUCCUGAUAGCCAAGUUCAUUCUCUCAAGAGCUUGCUGUGGGGGCUGACAGGUGGCAUGGUGGUUAAGGGCUCUGAACUCUCAUAUGGUUGACCAUGGUUCAA